AACGAACGCUGGCGGCAUGCCUAACACAUGCAAGUCGAACGAGACCUUCUGGUCUAGUGGCGCACGGGUGCGUAACGCGUGGGAACCUGCCCUUAGGUUCGGAAUAACUCCCCGAAAGGGGUGCUAAUACCGGAUAAUGUCUUCGGACCAAAGAUUUAUCGCCUUUGGAUGGGCCCGCGUUGGAUUAGCUAGUUGGUAGGGUAAAAGCCUACCAAGGCGACGAUCCAUAGCUGGUCUGAGAGGAAGAUCAGCCACACUGGGACUGAGACACGGGCCAGAAUACUACGGGAGGCAGGAGGGGGGAAUAUUGGACAAUGGGGGAAAGGCCGAGACAACAAUGCCGGGGGAGUGAUGAAGGCCUUAGGGUUGUAAAGAUCUUUUACCCGGGAUGAUAAUGACAGUACCGGGAGAAUAAGCUCCGGCUAACUCCGUG
rnacentral:rRNA from 1 species